GUGUUCAUUCCGGCAGCACAUAUACCAAAAUUGGAACGAUACAGAGAAGAUUAGCAUGGCCCCUGUGCAGGAAUGACAUGCAAAUUCAUAAAGCUUUCCACAUUUUU
rnacentral:snRNA from 1 species